UGUAUUUCAUAACUUUGAAUGGGUAUAUGGUCGUUAUUUUAUGGUGGAUGUCAUUGAAAUUUUCAGGACGUACAAAAGAAAGGUAGAUUAUUCAUUUUAUUAUAAUAAAAGCUUAUUGAAUGAUGCUAAAAUUGUCAUUUUAAACGCAGCAAACUGUAUGUGCUGUUUUGGCACCGAUGGAUAUAUACGCAUUUAUAUGUUGUUUUUCUGAGUGUAGUUUGAAACUAUUGCAACUACUAAUCCACUUAACUUGAAGAAAAAUGCGUCAUGUCUUGUUUGUAGAACGCAGUAGGUUGAUUUUUUUAAAUUUUAGGCGCAUAUUAUACUGUGAAUAUCCUUAUAAUUCGUACUACUAUUCGUACUAAAUUAUAUACCUGAUCAGUGAAAGGGGAUGUGAUGUCUUUGUAUUGGGCUUCUUUUCUUAAUUAACAAAAACGUUUUUGGACUAAACUAAGUAAACUGCACGAGUAGAAUCCAUUUUCACCAGAACUGGUUUAUAAUUUGUAACUUUGAUAUUAAACUUUGAUUGCUGGUAACAGUAAUGAGUACGAUAUUUGUUCACAUCUGUAUCAAGCAAUUGAUGGUGGAGCAGACUAACUUGCCAGAAGUUACCGUUCAUGACCCAAAAUUGCAACACACCAAUCUCAUGUAGAUUUACUCAGCAAGCACCAUCUUAAUUAAUGAUUUCACCUGUUACAAUUACCAUCAGCAUUGUUAGGUUUACCAUCUUAGUGAAGGAGCAAGACUAAUUAGGCUCCAAAAUAAUAAAAUAUUGCACAUUCAAACUGUGUAGCUCAGUCUGGAAUGCAUUGGUCUUGUAAACCAGGGGUUGUGGGCUGCAUUCUUACUGUGGUCAAGUUGAUUUUUCAGCUUGCCUGGUUUAGAUUUACUCAGUGUAGCAACAUCUUAGUAAUUAUUUAACACCAGCCUUGUAUUUUACAGUUCAGUUCUUAUGUACUUUGGUGUAAAAGAUUUUAAGCUAUAUAACUUGUAGAAGUUAUAUUGCUUAAUUGUUUUGGCAACACAGCAUAUUGUCCAGUGCAUAUGGUUAAAGAUGUGCUACCUUCAAAUAUUUUCUGUUCUUCUUUUUAGUGUUAGAAAGUUCACAAUUGGCAAAUUUCAAGAUGUAGUCCAGAAAGCAAUUUGUUGGAACAUGAAGACCUUCAAAUGUGUUUUCUGUUUGAUCAAAGGCCUUAAAGAAACGAAACUGAUCUUAAUAGAUUUAUGGAUCUAAACUCAAAUUUAUGGAACUAAAUUAUAUGGAUUUAUGGAACUAAAAUCAAAUUAAAUAUGGAUUGAUAAUAUGGAUAAAAAAUAUGGAUUUAUGGAACUAAAAUCAAAUCAAAGUGUUGUUUACAUUUUUGGAGUUGUACAACUUGUACUCAGUAGAAUACACUAGAUGUUAAAGUUUCAUUUACUUGGUUCCCUUUGUAAAAACAACACUACAACUUAUAUGCACCAACAUCCGAUUUGUUGCAAGUUGAAACCAGUUUUAUUGCCUGAUAUAUUUUACUCUGCCAACAAGUCUUAAUAACGAAGGGGCUAUUUACAUGAGCCCGACUAGUCCUGUUAACCGAGGCACCCAGCUUAAUACAAAUCAUUUAACAAGAAUCUGCCUAGCCGAGAUCUCACUUCAGUCAAAUGGGAUGCCCGGAUAACCGGGCUGAAAUUUCUCCAUGUAAAGUCACCAGCUCAGGUGACCUCCUGGCUAGCCAGGCCUUCAGCCUGGUUAACCGGGCCAGCCUGCAUGGCUAGCCGGGCUCAUGUAAACAGUCCCUAAGGUGAUAGCAACAAUAAUAUACUUGGUGCUAAAUGUAACAUAAACUUGAGUAACAGAGAAAAUUCUCAUAUUCAGAUUAUUUUCCCCUCAUUGUAGAGUAAACUGUUAAUAUGUAUCUUAAAAACUAGAGUGUAUAUUAGAAUCUCACAGAUUUAUAAUUUAAACUGUCGUUAAGAUAAAUCAGGUCUCUUAUUGUCUGUUUUGUAAAUGAAGUUCCCUGAUUCAUCCAAGCAUUGAUCUUUAAACUAUUUUU